UACGUAGGAGGCGAGCGUUGUCCGGAAUUACUGGGCGUAAAGCGCGUGUAGGCGGUUGGCGACGUCCUCUGUGAAAGCGCCGGGCUCAACUCGGCGAGGUCAGGGGAAACGGGCCGACUCGGUGGAGUGUGGCAGGGGGGCAUGGAAUUCCCGGUGUAGUGGUGAAAUGCGUAGAGAUCGGGAAGAACACCAGUGGCGAAGGCGGUGCCCUGGGCCACAACUGACGCUGAGACGCGAAAGCGUGGGGAGCGAACGG
rnacentral:rRNA from 1 species